CAUAGUCCCCAGCGCCCUCUCACGGCCCGCGGCUGGCCCUGGCCAGGAAGUGGCCUAGGGCACCCGCAGCAUCCCUGGGGGCUGUGGAGGGGGCGUCCUGCAGCCCAGGGCGGCCCCGUGGGCAGGGAGGGACAGUCCCCUUCCACCAAGGGUCGCGCGAGCGCCCAGGAGGCCCGAGCUGGAUGGCGGGUGUGCCUGCUCCUCUGCAGCAGCCAGAGCAAUCGCCCCCAAGCCCUCGGGAGGUCCCGUCUGCCAGGCGCCAACUUGGUGGGGCCCGGGAAGAUACCUGCCUGGCGCGUGGCAGGGCGUGAGCUCUGGGGCCAAGGGUCGGCUGUGGCAGGGCCCGGCCACGGGUGGUCCGGGCCCGGGAGGGCGCUGGGCAGCCCAGGGGCGGAGCCGGGAUCAGCCUCAGGUGCGUGGCUCGCACAGGUGCGCGGUCAGCCAUGGGGAAAGGGAGCCCUGGCUCUGGGGCAGCCCCUGCAGUACCCCCCGCAAUCUCCCUGAGGCCUCGCCGCCUCCCCGUGCCCUGCAGAGGCCCCUUACCGGGAGACUGUCUCCCGCCAGCACACGCGGGGCUCUGGGGGACGCACAGCACCUGCCCGUCACCGAGAAGCAGGUCCUGCUGGCACCUGCGGCACGGAACUGCCCGAGGGCCCUCCCCACGCAGGACCCUGCCCGGCUGCGGUGCGCCCUGGGCCCGCUUUAAGGGGUCUCAAGGCAUCGUGUUUGCGGUUGUUGGGGUGCACGGUGCAGGGGGCACAGACACGGGGCCCAUCCAGCUCAGCCCACCACGGUCUGGACUUGCCCACAUACCUCUGGAUGAGGCUCAGCGGGGUCUCUGAAGCACCCACAGUCCCAAAUCCAGAGCUGGCUUCGGGACAGGCCCCUGCUGGCCUGGGCCUGGGGCUCCUUCCGUCCUGGCCCGUCCCCCUCCUCCAGGUCUCUGGGUCGACUGCCUCCCCCCAGGAGGGGCUAGACCAUCCCUCAGCCCAGGACCCCUCCUGCACUGCGCGGGGCACUUGUCCGGGUCCCUCCUGCCAGGGAUCCCCCAGUUCCAGGCCGCCUGGCAUGGGGUGGGCACUCCGGAGAAAUGUCUGUCCUCACACUGUGCCCGAGAGACUUGCCCCUGACCGCGGGAUCCUGACCGCGGGAUCCUGACCACGGGUGCCAGGUUAGGCGGCAUUAGCCAUGUCCUGGACCCAGGGGAAUGUGGGGAGACAGGGCUGGGUGGCCACGGUCAGCAGGGAAUGUUCUUGUAUCUGAAUUAUCUGAAUUCUGCUCCUUUUUAUGGCCGGAUGAUGUUCUAUCACAUGGCUGGACCCCAGGGAGAGACCGGUCCUUCCAGCUGCCAUCAGCAGGGCUGCCAGUCCCAGGGUCAGCUGAGCCUGCUCUUGGGUCUCCGGUGUCCACCUAGGAGUGUACUUAGCGGGUCACACCACUCUACAGUUAGCUUUUUUGAGGAACUGGCAGGUGGGUUCCCAGAGGGGCAGCACCUUGCAGGUCUCCCGAGGGCCCUCCGCAGUCUACACGACCAGCCCCCUCUGCUUGCGUGGAAAAUGUGAUAUUCUGGGCACCCCGGGUGGCUCAGCGGUUUAGUGCCGCCUUCGGCCCAGGGCAUGAUCCUGGAGACCCGGGAUCGAGUCCCACGACCGACUCCCUGCGUGGAGCCUGCUUCUCCCUCUGCCUGUGUCUCUGCCUCUCUCUCUCUCUCUCUCUCUCUGUGCAUCUCUAAUAAAUAAAUAAAUAAAAUCUUUUUUAAAAAAUGU
rnacentral:lncRNA from 12 species